GAUGAACGCUGCGGCGUGCGUAACACAUGCAAGUUGAACGACGGUGCCAUGAAGUGGUAACACGGAGUGGUAUACGGAGUAGCGGACGGGUGAGUAAAGCAUGAGAAUCUGUCCUGUCGAGGGGGAUAACGUUCGGAAACGGACCCUAAUACCCCAUAGUCCGAGAGGUUAAAGGCAGCGAUGCGCGGCAGGAGGAGCUCGUGUCCUAUCAGCUGGUUGGUGAGGUAACGGCUCACCAAGGCUUCGACGGGUAGCCGGCCUGAGAGGGUGACCGGCCACACUGGAACUGAGAAACGGUCCAGACUCCUACGGGAGGCAGCAGUGGGGAAUAUUGGGCAAUGGGAGGAAUCCUGACCCAGCGACGCCGCGUGAACGAAGACGGCUCUUCGGGUUGUAAAGUUCUUUUAUGUGGGAAGAAUGAAGUGACGGUACCACAUGAAUAAGCCCGGCUAA
rnacentral:rRNA from 1 species